rnacentral:rRNA from 1 species
UACGGGAGGCAGCAGUGGGGAAUAUUGCACAAUGGGCGCAAGCCUGAUGCAGCCAUGCCGCGUGUAUGAAGAAGGCCUUCGGGUUGUAAAGUACUUUCAGUCGUGAGGAAGGUGUUAAGGUUAAUAACCUUAGCAAUUGACGUUAGCGACAGAAGAAGCACCGGCUAACUCCGUGCCAGCAGCCGCGGUAAUACGGAGGGUGCGAGCGUUAAUCGGAAUUACUGGGCGUAAAGGGCACGCAGGCGGUUAAUUAAGUUGGAUGUGAAAUCCCCGGGCUUAACCUGGGAAUGGCAUUCAAGACUGGUUAGCUAGAGUCUUGUAGAGGGGGUAGAAUUCCAUGUGUAGCGGUGAAAUGCGUAGAGAUGUGGAGGAAUACCGGUGGCGAAAGGCGGCCCCUGGGACAAAGACUGACGCUCAUGUGCGAAAGCGUGGGGAGCAAACAGGGAUUAGAUACC